CCUACGGGAGGCAGCAGUGGGGAAUUUUGGACAAUGGGGGCAACCCUGAUCCAGCCAUGCCGCGUGAGUGAAGAAGGCCUUCGGGUUGUAAAGCUCUUUCGGCCGGGAAGAAAUCGUGCGGGCUAAUACCCUGUAUGGAUGACGGUACCGGAAGAAGAAGCACCGGCUAACUACGUGCCAGCAGCCGCGGUAAUACGUAGGGUGCGAGCGUUAAGCGGAAUUAGUGGGCGUAGAGCGGUAGGAGGCGGGUGAAAUCCCCGGGCUUAACCUGGGAACUGCGUUUGUGACUGCGAGACUUGAGUGCGGCAGAGGGGGGUGGAAUUCCACGUGUAGCAGUGAAAUGCGUAGAGAUGUGGAGGAACACCGAUGGCGAAGGCAGCCCCCUGGGUCGACACUGACACUCAUGCACGAAAGCGUGGGGAGCAAACAGGAUUAGAUACCCCAGUAGUC
rnacentral:rRNA from 1 species